rnacentral:tRNA from 1 species
UCCCUGGUGGCUCAGACGGCAAAGCGUCUGCUUACAAUGUGGAAAACCCGGGUUCAAUUCCUGGGUUGGGAG